UACGAAGGGGGCUAGCGUUGCUCGGAAUUACUGGGCGUAAAGGGCGCGUAGGCGGAUAUUUAAGUUGGGGGUGAAAUCCCGGGGCUCAACCUCGGAAUUGCCUUCAAAACUGGAUAUCUUGAGUUCGGGAGAGGUGAGUGGAACUGCGAGUGUAGAGGUGAAAUUCGUAGAUAUUCGCAAGAACACCAGUGGCGAAGGCGGCUCACUGGCCCGGUACUGACGCUGAGGUGCGAAAGCGUGGGGAGCAAACAGGG
rnacentral:rRNA from 1 species